rnacentral:rRNA from 1 species
GCCUACGGGGGGCAGCAGUGGGGAAUAUUGCACAAUGGGGGAAACCCUGAUGCAGCGACGCCGCGUGAAGGAAGAAGUAUUUCGGUAUGUAAACUUCUAUCAGCAGGGAAGAAAAUGACGGUACCUGACUAAGAAGCUCCGGCUAAAUACGUGCCAGCAGCCGCGGUAAUACGUAUGGAGCAAGCGUUAUCCGGAUUUACUGGGUGUAAAGGGAGCGUAGGCGGCUCCGUAAGUCUGAUGUGAAAAUUUGGGGCUCAACCCCAAACGUGCAUUGGAAACUGCAGGGCUUGAGUGCCGGAGAGGCA